UUUAAGGUCUAAUCUGCCCAAUGAGGGUUUAAAUGGCCGCGGUAUUUUGACCGUGCAAAGGUAGCAUAAUAAUUAGUUUUUUAAUUGAAAGCUGGAAUGAAUGAUUGGACGAGAAAAUAGCUGUCUCAAUUUAAUUUUAUUAGAAUUUUAUUUUUAAGUAAGAAAGCUUAAAUUUUUUUAAAAGACGAGAAGACCCUAUAGAGUUUUAUAUUUUUAUAUUUAUAUUAAUAUUUUUAGAAUUUUAAUUUUAGUAUAUAUAAAAUUAUUUUGUUGGGGUGAUAGAAAAAUUGAAUUAACUUUUUUUAUAUUUAAACAUUAAUUUAUGAUUUAAUGAUCCAUUAUUUAUGAUUAAAAGAUUAAAUUACCUUAGGGAUAACAGCGUAAUUUUUUUUUAGAGUUCUAAUCGAAAAAAAAGAUUGCGACCUCGAUGUUGGAUUAAAAUAUACAUUUGGUGUAGGGGCUAAAUAGUUAGGUCUGUUCGACCUUUAAAAUUUUACA
rnacentral:rRNA from 1 species